rnacentral:tRNA from 1 species
GGUGGCUCAGUGGCAGAGUGCUUGCCUUGCAUGCAUGAGACCCUGGGUUCAAUUCCUCAGCACCA